rnacentral:rRNA from 1 species
CCCUUAGAUGUUCUGGGCCGCACGCGCGCUACACUGACGGAGGCAGCGAGCGUGUCCUUCGCCGGCAGGUGCGGGCAAUCUUGCGAGUCUCCGUCGUGCUGGGGAUAGAUGGUUGCAAUUGUCGACCUUGAACGAGGAAUUCCUAGUAAGCGCGAGUCAUCAGCUCGCGCUGAUUACGUCCCUGCCCUUUGUACACACCGCCCGUCGCUACUACAGAGUGCCCGUGUCCAAGAAACGGUCGGACCUGUGCGGCCUCUCCGGGCGACCGGAGGGCCGUUACGGGGAAGACCCUUUAUUUGACGCGGGUCGAUGAAGUAAAAGUCGUAACA